rnacentral:rRNA from 1 species
UACGUAGGAGACGAGCGUUGUCCGGAGUUACUGGGCGUAAAGGGUGCGUAGGCGGCCUGACAAGUCUGAUGUGAAAUCCCUGGGCUCAACCCAGGGCCUGCAUCGGAAACUGUCGGGCUUGAGUAUGGGAGAGGUGAGUGGAAUUUCCGGUGUAGCGGUGAAAUGCGUAGAUAUCGGAAGGAACACCUGUGGCGAAGGCGAGUCCCUGGACAACUUCUGACGCUGAGGCACGAAAGCUAGGGGAGCAAACAGG